AGGAUUAUGAUUACCCUUUUAGGAAACUAAGUAGCCCGGAGUAAAGUAAAAAGAUAGCCAGGAGGAACGUAUUAUAUGCAAGAACUAGGAAAGAUUACAUGGAGGUAAAUGGAAUCAAAACAAUUUGUAAUAGACGACGUGGAGGAGAAAGCGGAGGAAAAGCAGAAGAAAGAGUAGUGGGAGGAGAAAGAAAGGAGGAAGAGGAAGAGAGGGAGGGAGAGCUGGAGAGGUAUAAAAGUGGCCCCUGAUCGCAAGCACUACACAUUCCGUUACACUACGCCAAAGGUUUUACUUCUUGUCUUCGAUCCAACAAUGAUGUUGCGUCUCCGGUGCUUGGCGGUGGGGCUGGCAGCGCUGGUGGUGCUCCAGGCGUGUGUGACCUAUGCAGCUCCUUCCCCACAGUUGUCUGAUGCUGGAUAUGGUGGCGAUGAUGACGUCUAUGGGGAUGGUGACGAUGGCAGAUAUGGAGGUGAAGGCCAUGGCGGUGAUGAGGGUUAUAAAGGUGAUGAUGGAUAUGGUGGUGAGGAUGGUUAUGGUGUUGAUGAUGGUUAUAAAGGUGAUGGUGGCUAUGGUGGUGGUGAUGGUUAUAAAGGUAAUGAGGGUUAUGGUGGUGGUGAUGGUUAUAAUGGUGAUGAUGGCUAUGGUGGUGAUGAUAGCCAUGGUGGUGAAGGUUAUCGAGGUGAUGAUGGUUUUGAGGGCGGUGAAUAUGGUGGAAGUGAUGGAAGAUAUGGUGGUCAAAAGAGAUAGGAUGGGAAUGGUAGUAACUUAAAAGAUAAUCGCAGUUUAACACAUGCAUAUCACCAUACUAUGCCAAAUUACCAUAAAACACCAUGCUGUCAUGCCAGGUUUGUUCAUUAUUACCUCAAAAUCACCUCAUCUUUAAUUUGAAGUGCUAAAAAAAAGUAAAUGCUGUUGUUUAUACUAGUUAAAUGGGACCUGUUUUGUUUUUACCUUUACACGAAAUAUAUAUAUAUAUUAAAAGAAACA